GAUGAACGCUAGCGACAGGCUUAACACAUGCAAGUCGAGGGGCAGCGGGGGUAGCAAUACCCGCCGGCGACCGGCGCACGGGUGAGUAACGCGUAUGCAACUUACCUAUCAGAGGGGGAUAACCCGGCGAAAGUCGGACUAAUACCGCAUGAAGCAGGGGCCCCGCAUGGGGAUAUUUGCUAAAGAUUCAUCGCUGAUAGAUAGGCAUGCGUUCCAUUAGGCAGUUGGCGGGGUAACGGCCCACCAAACCGACGAUGGAUAGGGGUUCUGAGAGGAAGGUCCCCCACAUUGGUACUGAGACACGGACCAAACUCCUACGGGAGGCAGCAGUGAGGAAUAUUGGUCAAUGGGCGCGAGCCUGAACCAGCCAAGUCGCGUGAGGGAUGAAGGUUCUAUGGAUCGUAAACCUCUUUUAUAAGGGAAUAAAGUGCGGGACGUGUCCUGUUUUGUAUGUACCUUGUGAAUAAGGAUCGGCUAACUCCGUGCCAGCCGCCGCGGUAA
rnacentral:rRNA from 1 species